rnacentral:rRNA from 1 species
AACCCUGCCAUUCAGUGGCGAACGGGUGAGUAAUGCAUCGGAACGUGUCCCGCAGUGGGGGAUAACGCCGCGAAAGCGGCGCUAAUACCGCAUACGCUCUGUGGAGGAAAGCAGGGGAUCCGCGAGGACCUUGCGCUAUGGGGGCGGCCGAUGUCCGACUAGCUUGUUGGUGGGGUAACGGCCCACCAAGGCGACGAUCGGUAGCUGGUCUGAGAGGAUGAUCAGCCACACUGGGACUGAGACACGGCCCAGACUCCUACGGGAGGCAGCAGUGGGGAAUUUUGGACAAUGGGGGCAACCCUGAUCCAGCCAUGCCGCGUGCGGGAAGAAGGCCUUCGGGUUGUAAACCGCUUUUAGCCGGGACGAAAGCUGCACGGAUAACACCCGUGCGGGUUGACGGUACCGGCGGAAUAAGCACCGGCUAACUACGUGCCAGCAGCCGCGGUAAUACGUAGGGUGCGAGCGUUAAUCGGAAUUACUGGGCGUAAAGCGUGCGCAGGCGGUUCGUUGUGUCGGCGGUGAAAGCCCCGGGCUCAACCUGGGAAUGGCCGUUGAAACUGGCGAACUGGAGUGUGGCAAGAGGGGGGUGGAAUUCCGCGUGUAGCAGUGAAAUGCGUAGAGAUGCGGAGGAACACCGAUGGCGAAGGCAGCCCCCUGGGCUGACACUGACGCUCAGGCACGAAAGC